ACAGUAAGUGCCAUCACUCUCAUCUUCUUCCGUUUCCAUUUGUACAUCAAGAGAUUUUGAACUCCUUGAGACAUCCUCAUUUAGCACUAAUGAAUGUGUUCUGUUUUCAGGAUCUUCGUCCUCCAAGGAAUCAGUGGAAUUUGUUGAUCGGCUCUCACAGUCAGAAUCGUUUGAGCAAUCAGCAACAGUAGAUCCACAUGUUUCAUCCUCAGGACAUGUCACUGGUACAGUCAUAAUUUGGGCGCUCCAGAAUGCAGCAAACCCCGGCGACCAAGCUGACGUUGAUCAAAGAGGAUCCACGAUGACUUGCAUCAAGGAAAAGUCACGGCACCAUUGUGACCGGUCUUUAUCUUCUCUCUGCGUUGUGUUGAUAUUUUAACCAGACUGGACAACAAGAGAUUCUUUGGACCACUUUUUUUAUUCUGAAUGAAUAAAAAAAGGAAAAAUUUAUGGAAAAAAGUGUCAAUCCGUGGCCUUUCUCCACAAUUUCAACAUUGAUCUUUCCCCAGCUGCGCUUACCGCGAACUGCCAUCAUAUUACAAUUAUUAAAUGAACUGCAUAUGAUUAAAUCAACAAUAUUUAACAUUUUUCUCAAUGUAAAACAUUUCACAUGAAUUCAAAACAACAAUAUUAACAGAAACAUGGAUAGAGAACAUACCUGAAUGAAUAAAAAGGAAAAUUUAUGAAAAAAGUGUCAAUCCGUGGCCUUUCUCCACAAUUUCAACAUUGAUCUGCCAGUCAAAACAGAUAAUUUUAGCCACGGAACUUACACGGUUAAUAAACACCAAAAAGAAAAUACAUACUUCAUGUUACCCAACCUCUAUUAGUGUUACAAUAAGAUUAAAUUGUAUUUUUAACAAAAAAAAAUACAUAUUAGUCACAAGAAACAAACUAAUUUAAAACUUUUUAGUGAGAGCUCAGCAGAACUCACCUUUCCCCAGCUGCGCUUACCGCGAACUGAAGGAAAACAACCGGAACCUAACUCUUAAAGGGGCCACGUACUAU
ensembl:lncRNA